ACUCUGGAUAGCUAAGUUGAUAGAGCAUGAUGAGGCUCUUAAUCUCAGGGUUGUGGGUUCAAGCCUCAUGUUGGGCA